rnacentral:rRNA from 1 species
GAUGAACGCUGGCGGCGUGCCUAAUACAUGCAAGUCGAGCGAACAGACGAGGAGCUUGCUCCUCUGACGUUAGCGGCGGACGGGUGAGUAACACGUGGAUAACCUACCUAUAAGACUGGGAUAACUUCGGGAAACCGGAGCUAAUACCGGAUAAUAUAUUGAACCGCAUGGUUCAAUAGUGAAAGACGGUUUUGCUGUCACUUAUAGAUGGAUCCGCGCCGCAUUAGCUAGUUGGUAAGGUAACGGCUUACCAAGGCAACGAUGCGUAGCCGACCUGAGAGGGUGAUCGGCCACACUGGAACUGAGACACGGUCCAGACUCCUACGGGAGGCAGCAGUAGGGAAUCUGCCGCAAGGGGCGAAAGCCUGACGGAGCAACGCCGCGUGAGGGAUGAAGGUCUUCGGAUCGUAAAACUCUGUUAUUAGGGAAGAACAAAUGUGUAAGUAACUAUGCACGUCUUGACGGUACCUAAUCAGAAAGCCACGGCUAACUACGUG